rnacentral:rRNA from 1 species
UGGGUAACCUGCCCAAGAGAUCGGGAUAACACCUGGAAACAGAUGCUAAUACCGGAUAACAACAGAUGAUGCCUAUCAACUGUUUAAAAGAUGGUUCUGCUAUCACUCUUGGAUGGACCUGCGGUGCAUUAGCUAGUUGGUAGGGUAACGGCCUACCAAGGCGAUGAUGCAUAGCCGAGUUGAGAGACUGAUCGGCCACAUUGGGACUGAGACACGGCCCAAACUCCUACGGGAGGCAGCAGAC